UAAAUACUCCCUCCAUCCGAAAAUACUUGUCAUCAAAAUGGAUAAAAAUAAAUGUAUCUAAAACUAAAAUACGUCUAGAUACAUUUCCUUUUAUCCAUUUUGAUGACAAGUAUUUCGGACGGAGGGAGUAUUUG
rnacentral:pre_miRNA from 1 species